rnacentral:lncRNA from 1 species
AGAGACAGAGUCCCCGGCAGCAGCGGUGGUGGCAGGGGCAGCGCUCUGGCAGAUUCAUCCCAUCACCUAAAACCUGGUAACAGUGGGCCACACAGAGUCUUACUGGUAAGUAGGUCCAGCGGAGCUCUCUCCAGGAUUUCCUGCUGAGUAAUGGAGGAAGAAGGGAGCCAAGGAUGCUCCAGGUGAAAACCCUCAGCGAAGAUGUCAAGCAAAACAGCCAGCACCAACAACAUCGCGCAGGCAAGGAGGACGGUGCAGCAGUUGAGGAUGGAAGCUUCCAUUGAAAGAAUAAAGGUUUCCAAGGCAUCAGCGGACCUCAUGUCCUACUGCGAGGAACAUGCCAGAAAUGACCCUCUGCUGAUGGGGAUACCAACUUCAGAAAACCCUUUCAAGGAUAAGAAAACCUGCAUCAUCUUAUAGAGGAGAAGUCAAGCAGUCCCGCCCCACGUCCCAACAAAGCAAAUUGUGAGCAGCUCCUUAAAAAGAUUUACCUUCGGCUUAUUUGGUAACCACUGCUAAUCACUAAAAUGCUCUUAGCUUGGAAUCAUCGACUCUGAAGUCUUUAUUUUCCAAGUUGUCCUUGCUCUAAAAUACCCUUUACUGAAUUAAUACAAAAUAGCAGUCUCGUUUUCCCUUUGGUAACUAGUGUGUCAUAUGGGGUGACUGCUGAAGGAAAGUUGAUCUGGCCUUUUCAAAAACACCAUUAAAAUAUAUGAGUGAUCCAGUUAAGACCCCAAUUACCUGAGCAUCCGUCUAGAUUAAAAUGCCAAGACAACUUAAGGCCUAAAACCUUUCUAUCAUCGCGUGUUCUUAAUAGGGUUGUGCCAAUCUGUACAGUAUACAUGGGUGAGGAGUGUUGUGUAUAUAUAUUUGUGUGUUUGUAUAUACACAUCUCAAAGCUUAUUUCCGUACUGAAAUGUCUCUCUCCAUACCAUCUGUUCCUCAGCUCCAAAGCUAUACCUUGAUCGUGAGCUGUGUGUCGGUGGAAUUAAAUUCUUUGCUUGUAGUAACUGUGCACAAAGUCAAGAACUCCCUUACGAUUGUGUGCAUUGUAAUUGAGUAAUGAAGUCAUCUCUCUCCUCUUGAAAUCUUGCUGACCUCCUAGGCUACAAUAAACUGUGCCAAUUAAAAUGUUAAAACCUGAGCUAAAAGCCCUUUUAUAAUAGGAGGUAUGAAUUCACCAAGGGCUUUCAGGCUUCAGUGAUCCUGAGUCUAGAAAAGGGGAGGAGGCCCUUGGGUGGUACCCAGGGCCCAUAGUCUCGGGAUCAGGGGUAGACACAUCUGAAAUUUCCGCUCUCUAACCACGGGAACGAGACAGAGCAGCCUUGAGCCCGGCCGAGAGGGGAGCAGGAAUGCGUGGAAACCAGCUGCUCUCUGUGAUUUAGCUCACGUUCUCUGCCUCCCUGUAUCUUUCCUCUGCUGCCAGAACGUCUGUCUUCAGAGGUCAUCUUCACCUCCCCAAGUGGGUAGAAGGUGAUGGGGCAGAAACACCCAAUGAACGUAAAAGUAUCAAGACACUUAGGCUCUUUUCACAAACUGGUAGCAUCAGCCCCACCCUUACCUUUUCCACGCAACAUCCAAGAGGAUUGGAUUCAUUCAGUGGUUCACUACUUGGGUCCACAGGCUCCAGCAGCUGGUGUCGGGUUCCUUGAUUUCCUCUGGGCAUGAAGCCUGCCCCCACACAUGCACAGCAUUUGCAGCGGGGAUCCCAAAAGAAGGCAUCUCCUAUGGCCAAGAGGCUAUGUUAACUUUACCAGAGAGGAAGAGAGGGUCUUUAUUUUCAAUGCUCACUUACAUUCCCAAACCGUACACUCAGCCUUUGAUGUUAAGUCAGCGUCAGCUCGUUAAAAAUAAUGAUGGAUUAAAACCUUGUUCUCAAAAAGGAGUCAACCCCAAGAAGGAGUUAUGUACCAUGGUUUUCCCUAGUUCUGGACAAUCCAGCCCCGUGGCACAAGCCCCCUUCUCACAUUUGGGCUUUGAGUAUUAGGUUCAUUGCAGGCAAAUGCAACACUGGUUUUAAACUGCUCAAAUAUAGUCCGUAUUUUUCCCAGUCACCUAUCUACUCAGCAUUGUGAACCACCCUGCCUCGUCCAAGACCAUGUGAAAAUCACACCACCGCCCUUACACACUUGUCACCUACCCUUUGGUUCUGCAAUACGUCCAGUUUCCAAGGAAAUCACAGGCACCUGUUGCAGAGAGAAAGGUUUUUUUUUUUUUCCCUCUUUCCAAAGGUGAGAUCUGAAAUGCACAUUAAAGUGACAACUUUACAUUUAAUGCUUCACAUAAUGAGACAUGCUUUUUAAAAUAUUUUUCUAGCAGUAGUUUUAGAACACUAAUCUUAUUUUCUCUCUGAUUUUUACCAUGUUUCCUUAAAUAUUUAUAAUGCAGCUUGUUACAAAAUAUUGUCGUGAAAUUGCUUUUAUUAUACUGGUAUGCACACAUGUUUGGUAGCAAGCAUAGUUUAUCCUUUAGUCCUAAAACACGUUCUUUUACCUAACAGAAAAUAAGUAUGUUUUGCUAUAUAUUUGUUAGUAUGCUUGUAGUGCUAAGGAGUGGACUUGAGGUCCCAGGAGAGUUCACUUUUAUUUUUGCUGGCCAGAUAGAGUAAAGGCUCUGAGCACGAGCAGCUUGUAACUUCCUAACCAGGUAUAGGUCACGUUCAAGCAAAGUGAAAUGAAAUCCUUUGAUGCUGUAGCCAAGGGGGAAAAAAUUGGAGUUAAAUGUUGAUUUACUUAUAACUAGAUGUCUAUGUGAAAAAAAUAUAAUAUAUAUAUAUAUACACACAUAUAUAUAUGAUACACAGAAGUCACUUUUAUUUAUCAGGCUUUAUUCUACUCAUGAAGCCACAGUUAAACUGUUCUGCAGCAGCUGGUUUUUGAUGCUGGUGGACACGUCCAGGAUGUGUUAUUUUUUUCCCACUACCACUGUAAUGACACAUGUAAUCACUUUUGUACAUGCAGCUUCUUGGCUUCAUAGCUAUGAAGCUAUUGAAACAUGUUCACUAUCCUUAGUCUUUAAUGCUGCUUUGGUUAAAAGUGAUCUUUUUCUCUUCUGACAUCUUCAUUAGCUCAUCAUAAUGCUGUCCAUUUGAGGCCUCAGGCCCAUAGCAAGAUACGCUAAGCAGCAUUCCAUGACUCCAAAGUAUUUUACAGAAACACUUUAAAAAAAAAUAGAGAAACCCUUUGUAUAUGAGGUGGUUCACAAACUAGAGGUUGUAGUUACUUUUUUUCCUAAAAAGAAUCAGGUGUCUAACCUGUCCUUCCCGUACCAAAAUGAAAAGGGCCAUGUGUACCCUUUAAAGAAAAGACCUGAUUUGCUCUUUAUUUGCACUAUUUUUGUACUUUACUCAUCUUAAACCAUCAGGAAAAAAAAAAAUCACACCCAUGAUUUAGUAAUUUGGAGGCAUAGGUUAACUGAAGUGAAGGAUGUGCCACACUUGCCCUUCAGAUGCCUUCUUCUUGACCAAUUUGCAGCUAAGAUCGUGUCAUCUGAGUGGUUACUCCCUAUUUUGAUAAGAUGUAUAUAGACCCAAGAAGUGAAUCACAGUACGUGUCAGUCCUUUCUCAAUAAAUAUAAUACCAGAGUGUUUAUAACUUGUAUUGACUUCUUUUAUGGUAGAGCUGUUAAUAGGGAAAAAAAAUACAUUGAAUCAAAUAGA